rnacentral:rRNA from 1 species
GACGAACGCUGGCGGCGUGCCUAAUACAUGCAAGUCGAGCGAGCGGAACUAACAGAUUUACUUCGGUAAUGACGUUAGGAAAGCGAGCGGCGGAUGGGUGAGUAACACGUGGGGAACCUGCCCCAUAGUCUGGGAUACCACUAGGAAACAGGUGCUAAUACCGGAUAAGAAAGCAGAUCGCAUGAUCAGCUUUUAAAAGGCGGCGUAAGCUGUCGCUAUGGGAUGGCCCCGCGGUGCAUUAGCUAGUUGGUAAGGUAAAGGCUUACCAAGGCGAUGAUGCAUAGCCGAGUUGAGAGACUGAUCGGCCACAUUGGGACUGAGACACGGCCCAAACUCCUACGGGAGGCAGCAGUAGGGAAUCUUCCACAAUGGACGCAAGUCUGAUGGAGCAACGCCGCGUGAGUGAAGAAGGUUUUCGGAUCGUAAAGCUCUGUUGUUGGUGAAGAAGGAUAGAGGUAGUAACUGGCCUUUAUUUGACGGUAAUCAACCAGAAAGUCACGGCUAACUACGUGCCAGCAGCCGCGGUAAUACGUAGGUGGCAAGCGUUGUCCGGAUUUAUUGGGCGUAAAGCGAGCGCAGGCGGAAGAAUAAGUCUGAUGUGAAAGCCCUCGGCUUAACCGAGGAACUGCAUCGGAAACUGUUUUUCUUGAGUGCAGAAGAGGAGAGUGGAACUCCAUGUGUAGCGGUGGAAUGCGUAGAUAUAUGGAAGAACACCAGUGGCGAAGGCGGCUCUCUGGUCUGCAACUGACGCUGAGGCUCGAAAGCAUGGGUAGCGAACAGGAUUAGAUACCCUGGUAGUCCAUGCCGUAAACGAUGAGUGCUAAGUGUUGGGAGGUUUCCGCCUCUCAGUGCUGCAGCUAACGCAUUAAGCACUCCGCCUGGGGAGUACGACCGCAAGGUUGAAACUCAAAGGAAUUGACGGGGGCCCGCACAAGCGGUGGAGCAUGUGGUUUAAUUCGAAGCAACGCGAAGAACCUUACCAGGUCUUGACAUCUAGUGCCAUUUGUAGAGAUACAAAGUUCCCUUCGGGGACGCUAAGACAGGUGGUGCAUGGCUGUCGUCAGCUCGUGUCGUGAGAUGUUGGGUUAAGUCCCGCAACGAGCGCAACCCUUGUUAUUAGUUGCCAGCAUUAAGUUGGGCACUCUAAUGAGACUGCCGGUGACAAACCGGAGGAAGGUGGGGAUGACGUCAAGUCAUCAUGCCCCUUAUGACCUGGGCUACACACGUGCUACAAUGGGCAGUACAACGAGAAGCGAGCCUGCGAAGGCAAGCGAACCUCUGAAAGCUGUUUUCAGUUCGGACUGCAGUCUGCAACUCGACUGCGCGAAGCUGGAAUCGCUAGUAAUCGCGGAUCAGCACGCCGCGGUGAAUACGUUCCCGGGCCU